ensembl:lncRNA
GCAGAUGUUUAAAAUGGUAUGUCAGUUGAAGAGAACGAUUGUAAUGACAGACAGACUGAAAGAACAAAUGGAAUCUAAUGGUAUUAACCUUAUAACUAUAGGUAGCCUAAUACAUUUUAUGUACACCAUGCUUCCAAAGUUCAAAUACACUUUGCAUUCAGUAGAAUAAAAAUUAUAAACAAUUUCCAGUGCGUAAUGCUAUAUUUUUCAAAAGUUAUAUAAUGCUAUAAUGGUUGCUAAACGCCAGGUUUUAGCCAGUUUAUAAUAGCAUAAACCUAUUCUGUGGUUUCCAUUAAGAUUUUCAUUGCCUUUUCUCAUUGGCAAAGCAAACGCUUUUGGCGUCUAAAUUGAAUAUUCAGUUCUAAUUGAGGGAUUAGGGAUACUUUUUUUUCACCCUAGUGCUACUCCUUCGGAAAAGUUUUCUGAUUCUGAAAAUAGGCACGAGGGCUAGUCUGGAAUUCUUGGAUUACAUCAUCCUUUAUGAUGUCAUCAUCAUUGGGUGACUUUGGCACGUUACCGAAUGGGUGAAGUCAGGCAGAAUUUCUGCUCUCGCUGCCCAGUGCAAAUCAUUUAAAACAAAGCCUCAGGGUCACUGUAUCCGUACGGAUAACUGUUAACCCCAUCCACUCUCCUUUCCUUUCAUUACUUGUCUUUUCAAGGGGACAGUCGAGAGAAGGUGACGUCUUCGUUAAAAAAAGGGAAUGGAAGCCUGUGUUUUUCUCUUGGGGGACAUCAUAAUGAUUUGAUUUACUGGCGGUCAUUUGAUCAACAGCGUACGCUCCACUCCCUAAACACACACUCCUCCUCGAGAAACUAUCAGCGGCAGACGCACGCAAGAAGGUGCAGGCUGCCGGACAUCUCGGGGCUGGAAUCACAUUCAUUCUCAUUAGACUGCGAUAGUGUCAGCUGGAGGCAGGGGAGGCACGAGCCAGGGUCAUAAAAACUACCUCACUACCUUUUCCCGCCAUUACCUCAUACAGAUCACAUCAUACCCAGUCAGCCAUUCUCCAGUCUACGCCGAAGCUGCACACUGGCGUAUGUUUUUAAUGUGCAUCGCUUUUCUGCCGGUCACUUUUACCAGCUUCUUGUCAAACUACCUUCGUAAACAGUGAAGGAAAUGGCCCGUCGUCAGCCUUCAAGCAUAAGCAGUUUUCAACAGGUUUUGAGGUUGGCGACAGUGGAGGUCAAUAGAGAUGGCUCCAUGAGAUGAACUGGCUCGCUCCCCAGAGACAUGCGUUCUCAGUGAGGCCCAGUGAUAGAUGAAGUGUGUGAGGGAUCGGUUCGGGCCCGUGUUCAAUCAAACUUCAUGGCUUACAUUACAGUGGAUGAUGCAUGGGCACUUCUUUGGACCUGUUUUAUGUUCUGUAGGCCCAGGAGCGUGGCAUUGUUUGCACUGGCCAUCCAAGAUGUAGAUGAGUUUGUUUCGUCAUCAGAACAGAUUUGGAGAAAUUACAUUAAUUGCUCACCAAUGGAUUCUCUGCAGUGAAUGGGUGCCAUCAUAAUGAGAGUCCAAACAGCUGAUAAAAACAUUACAAUAGUCCACAUGACACCUGUCCAUCAAUUAAUGUCUUAUGAAAUCUUGUUUUCGUAAGAAACAAAUCCAUCAAGAUAUUUCAACCAUUGCUUCCUGCUGAAAUACUAGCUGAGUACUCUAUCCAUAAUAUUGAUUUCUCCAGUGAAACCACAUCAUCUGAAUCAGGAGAGAAAUAUGCACAAAAUCAACAAUUGCUAGUAAAUUUCACAAUUAACUACAAGAAAUGGCAAGUAACACAUUGAAUUAAAUGUGAAUUUUUAAAGUUUUUUAUAUAUAAAAC